UACGUAGGGGGCGAGCGUUGUCCGGAUUUAUUGGGCGUAAAGAGCGUGUAGGCGGCCAGGUAGGUCGGUUGUGAAAACUGGAGGCUUAACCUUCAGACGUCGACCGAAACCAUCUGGCUAGAGUCCGGAAGAGGAGAGUGGAAUUCCUGGUGUAGCGGUGAAAUGCGCAGAUAUCAGGAAGAACACCCGUGGCUAAGGCGGCUCUCUAGUACGGUACUGACGCUGAGACGCGAAAGCGUGGGGAGCGAACAGG
rnacentral:rRNA from 1 species